rnacentral:rRNA from 1 species
UUGAAACUCAAAGGAAUUGACGGGGGCCCGCACAAGCGGUGGAGUAUGUGGUUUAAUUCGAAGCAACGCGAAGAACCUUACCAGGGCUUGACAUCCCACUGACCGGUGUAGAGAUACACUUUUCUCUUCGGAGACAGUGGUGACAGGUGGUGCAUGGUUGUCGUCAGCUCGUGUCGUGAGAUGUUGGGUUAAGUCCCGCAACGAGCGCAACCCCUAUUGUUAGUUGCUACGCGAGAGCACUCUAGCGAGACUGCCGUUGACAAAACGGAGGAAGGUGGGGACGACGUCAAAUCAUCAUGCCCCUUAUGGCCAGGGCUACACACGUGCUACAAUGGCGUAAACAAAGGGAGGCAGAAUCGUGAGAUGGAGCAAAUCCCAAAAAUAACGUCCCAGUUCGGAUUGUAGUCUGCAACCCGGCUACAUGAAGCUGGAAUCGCUAGUAAUCGCGGAUCAGAAUGCCGCGGUGAAUACGUUCCCGGGUCUUGUACACACCGCCCGUCACACCAUGGGAGCCGGAAAUGCCC